GACGAACGCUGGCGGCGUGCUUAACACAUGCAAGUCGAACGGAAAGGCCCUGCUUUUGUUGGGUGCUCGAGUGGCGAACGGGUGAGUAACACGUGAGUAACCUGCCCUUGACUUUGGGAUAACUUCAGGAAACUGGGGCUAAUACCGGAUAGGAGCUCCUGCUGCAUGGUGGUGGUUGGAUAGUUUCGGCGGUUGGGGAUGGACUCGCGGCUUAUCAGCUUGUUGGUGGGGUAGUGGCUUACCAAGGCUUUGACGGGUAGCCGGCCUGAGAGGGUGACCGGCCACAUUGGGACUGAGAUACGGCCCAGACUCCUACGGGAGGCAGCAGUGGGGAAUAUUGCACAAUGGGCGGAAGCCUGAUGCAGCAACGCCGCGUGCGGGAUGACGGCCUUCGGGUUGUAAACCGCUUUCGCCUGUGACGAAGCGUGAGUGACGGUAAUGGGUAAAGAAGCAACGGCUAACUUCGUG
rnacentral:rRNA from 1 species